AAGCCUGCCCGGCUCCUCGGG
rnacentral:miRNA from 1 species